GACGAACGCUGGCGGCGUGCUUAACACAUGCAAGUCGAACGGAAAUGCCCUGCUUGCAGGGUACUCGAGUGUCGAACGGGUGAGUAACACGUUGGUUUUCUGCCCUCCACUUCGGGAUAAUCCUGGUAAACUGGGUCUACUACCGGAUAGAGGCCAUUUUUAGUUUGAUGGUUGGACAGUUUUUUCGGUGUAGGAUGAGCUCGCGGCCUAUCAGCUUGUUGGUGGGGUAAUGGCCUACCAAGGCGGCGACGGGUAGCCGGCCUGAGAGGGUGGACGGCCACAGUGGGACUGGGAUACGGCCAAGACUCCGACGGGAGGCAGAAGUGGGGAAGAGUGAACAAGGGGAGAAAGCCUGAUGCAGAGACGCCGCGGGGGGGAGGACGGUCUUCGGGUUGUAAACUCCAUUCGCUAGGGACGAAGAUGUUUGUGACGGUACCUAGAGAAGAAGCACCGGCUAACUACGUG
rnacentral:rRNA from 1 species